rnacentral:rRNA from 1 species
AAUAUUGCACAAUGGGCGACAGCCUGAUGCAGCAACGCCGCGUGAGGGAUGACGGCCUUCGGGUUGUAAACCUCUUUUAGUAGGGAAGAAGCGAAAGUGACGGUACCUGCAGAAAAAGCACCGGCUCACUACUUGCCAGCAGCCGAGGUAAUCCGUCGGGUGCAAGCGUUGUCCGGAAUUAUUGUGAGUAAAGUGCUCGUAGGCGGCUUGUCGCGGCUGCUGUGAAAACCCGAGGAUCAACCUCGGGCUUGCAGUGGGUACGGGAAGGCUAGAGUGCGGUAGGGGAGAUUGGAAUUCCUGGUGUAGCGGUGGAAUGCGCAGAUAUCAGGAGGAACACCGAUGGCGAAGGCAGAUCUCUGGGCCGCUACUGAAGCUGAGGAGCGAAAGCAUGGGGAGCGAACA